rfam:Salmo salar isolate Sally breed double haploid chromosome ssa01, whole genome shotgun sequence.
UGCAUUCACUACUGUAAGUCACUCUGGAUAAGAGUGUCUGCUAAAUGACCAAAA